AUCGUUCAAUCCUUCUAAAGGAUCGGAAGUAGGGGUGACCUUAAGGAACGCGGA
rnacentral:ncRNA from 10 species